CCUACGGGUGACAGCAGUGAGGAAUAUUGGUCAAUGGGAGAGAUCCUGAACCAGCCAAGCCGCGUGAGGGAAGACGGCCCUAUGGGUUGUAAACCUCUUUUGUCGGAGAACCAAACCCAGAACGUGUCCCGGACUGCGUGUAUCCGAAGAAAAAGCAUCGGCUAACGCCGUUCCAGCAGCCGCGUUAAUACGGAGGAUGCGAGCGUUAUCCGGAUUUAUUGGGUGUAAAGGGUGCGCAGGCGGCCUGUUAAGUCAGCGGUAAAAGACCGGGGCUCAACCCCUGCGAGCCGUUGAAACUGGCGGGCUGGAGUUGGCGAGAAGUACGCGGAAUGCGCGGUGUAGCGGUGAAAUGCUUAGAUAUCGCGCAGAACCCAGAUUGCGAAGGCAGCGUACCGGCGCCACACUGACGCUGAGGCACGAAAGCGUGGGUAUCGAACAGGAUGAGAUACCCCUGUAGUC
rnacentral:rRNA from 1 species